rnacentral:rRNA from 1 species
UGCCAGACUCCUACGGGAGGCAGCAGUGAGGAAUAUUGGUCAAUGGCCGGAAGGCUGAACCAGCAACGCCGCGUGAGGGAAGACGGUUUUCGGAUUGUAAACCUCUGUCCUCUGUGAAGAUAAUGACGGUAGCAGAGGAGGAAGCUCCGGCUAACUACGUGCCAGCAGCCGCGGUAAUACGUAGGGAGCAAGCGUUGUCCGGAUUUACUGGGUGUAAAGGGUGCGUAGGCGGCCUUGCAAGUCAGAAGUGAAAUCCAUGGGCUUAACCCGUGAACUGCUUUUGAAACUGUAGGGCUUGAGUGAAGUAGAGGCAGGCGGAAUUCCCGGUGUAGCGGUGAAAUGCGUAGAGAUCGGGAGGAACACCAGUGGCGAAGGCGGCCUGCUGGGCUUUAACUGACGCUGAAGCACGAAAGCGUGGGUAGCAAACAGGAUUAGAUACCCGAGUAGA